UAACACUAACUGGAGGACCGAACCGACUAAUGUUGAAAAAUUAGCGGAUGACUUGUGGCUGGGGGUGAAAGGCCAAUCAAACCGGGAGAUAGCUGGUUUUCCCCGAAAGCUAUUUAGGUAGCGCCUCGUGAACUCAUCUUCGGGGGUAGAGCACUGUUUCGGCUUGGGGGUCAUCCCGACUUACCAACCCGAUGCAAACUACGAAUACCGAAGAAUGUUAUCACGGGAGACACACGUCGGGUGCUAACGUCCGUCGUGAAGAGGGAAACAACCCAGACCGCCAGCUAAGGUCCCAAAGUCAUGGUUAAGUGGGAAACGAUGUGGGAAGGCACAGAC
rnacentral:rRNA from 1 species